rnacentral:rRNA from 1 species
AGUGAACGCUGGCGGUAGGCCUAACACAUGCAAGUCGAACGGCAGCACAGUAAGAGCUUGCUCUUACGGGUGGCGAGUGGCGGACGGGUGAGGAAUACAUCGGAAUCUACUUUUUCGUGGGGGAUAACGUAGGGAAACUUACGCUAAUACCGCAUACGACCUACGGGUGAAAGCAGGGGAUUUUCGGACCUUGCGCGAUUGAAUGAGCCGAUGUCGGAUUAGCUAGUUGGCGGGGUAAAGGCCCACCAAGGCGACGAUCCGUAGCUGGUCUGAGAGGAUGAUCAGCCACACUGGAACUGAGACACGGUCCAGACUCCUACGGGAGGCAGCAGUGGGGAAUAUUGGACAAUGGGCGCAAGCCUGAUCCAGCCAUACCGCGUGGGUGAAGAAGGCCUUCGGGUUGUAAAGCCCUUUUGUUGGGAAAGAAAAGCAGCAGGUUAAUACCCCGCUGUUCUGACGGGACCCAAAGAAGAAGCACCGGCUAACUUCGU